UACGAAGGGGGCUAGCGUUGCUCGGAAUCACUGGGCGUAAAGCGCACGUAGGCGGACUCUUAAGUCGGUGGUGAAAUCCUGGAGCUCAACUCCAGAACUGCCUUCGAUACUGAGAGUCUUGAGUCCGGGAGAGGUGAGUGGAACUGCGAGUGUAGAGGUGAAAUUCGUAGAUAUUCGCAAGAACACCAGUGGCGAAAGGCGGCUCACUGGCCCGGUACUGACGCUGAGGUGCGAAAAGCGUGGGGGAGCAAACAGG
rnacentral:rRNA from 1 species